UAUAAUGAUGUUAGUUCGGCGGCAGAAAGUUUUAGAUUCCGGACAAUCAAAACCAAAAGGAACACAAUCAGGAGAUCCCAUGCAAGUCUGGUAGGACAACCAGCAAUGCCAGGUACUCAGAUAGUCUGAGAUAAAAAACAGGAUGAAGAGUUGCCAAGAAUUACUUCAUUUAAUGAGAUCAGAUGAGAGGAUGAGCAAAGAGAGCUACAGUCAAUAGAGAGUGCCCGCAGCAGCCACUGUUGCUCUUAGUAAGUGCACCGCAGAGGACGUCAGGAGAACGUCAACCCCACUGAGAGCCCCUGCACCUGAGCCUUCUGACAAGAUAAGAAGAACAAGUUGGAAAGGAGCUCAGAUCAGAAUAAAGCGGUCUACUAGUUUCUAUGCCCUUUCCUCUCUCUAGGGGACUACAAGCUUCAUCUGGACCUGGCUUGACUUGAGAGUUUUCUGUUCUGGUUUGUUGUGGAGAAACAUAUGGCGAGCAAUUAUUCAUCCUUAUCUGUGAUUCAUUGGGAAGAAAAUAAGAAAUGUACAUGUGAGAUCAAGAGAACCCAGCACUGAAAUAAAGAAAAUGUCAUGUUUUCACAGUCCUGCUGAUGAGUAAAUUGUGUUAAUACGGCCUGAAGUAUGAUUUGUUGACUGUGAGGGGGCUCGCUGCUCGGAGUCCCCCCGUGAAUUUCUGUUUUUGUCAGGGGGAACUGAUAUCUUAAUGCUUAAAGGGGUACUCCAGUGCUUCAGCGUUUUAAAUAUUUCGUUCAGAACACUCGGAGCAGGAGGCUGUGAUCGUGACGUCAUGGCGACGCCCCUUUGUGAAGUCAUUUCAUGCCCCCUCCAUUCAUGUAUAUGGGUGGGGACAUGCCACA